rnacentral:miRNA from 1 species
CGUCUUUCCAAAGCCUCGCGAU